rfam:Oryzias latipes DNA, chromosome24, strain: Hd-rR.
ACAACGGCUCUUUUGAGAGCCACCCACACAACCUUUAAGAGCUUG